GACGAACGCUGGCGGCGUGCUUAACACAUGCAAGUCGAACGGAAAGGCCCUGCUUUUGUGGGGUGCUCGAGUGGCGAACGGGUGAGUAACACGUGAGUAACCUGCCCUUGACUUUGGGAUAACUUCAGGAAACUGGGGCUAAUACCGGAUAGGAGCUCCUGCUGCAUGGUGGGGGUUGGAAAGUUUCGGCGGUUGGGGAUGGACUCGCGGCUUAUCAGCUUGUUGGUGGGGUAGUGGCUUACCAAGGCUUUGACGGGUAGCCGGCCUGAGAGGGUGACCGGCGACAUUGGGACUGAGAGACGGCGCAGACGCGUACGGGAGACAGCAGGGGGGAAUAUUGCACAAUGGGCGGAAGCCUGAUGCAGCAACGCCGCGUGCGGGAUGACGGCCUUCGCGUUGUAAACCGCUUUCGCCUGUGACGAAGCGUGAGUGACGGUAAUGGGUAAAGAAGCACCGGCUAACUACGUG
rnacentral:rRNA from 1 species